ensembl:lncRNA
UUAGCUUGGGAGACAUUCUGGAAGGUUACUGCGCUCCACCCCAGGUGGCACCAGAGAAAAAGGGGAAAUCAGGCCAAAGUUUAAAUGGUCAUACAGACAUUGGCAUAAGGAACUUCACGAGCUUCUUGGAGACUAUUAUUUUCACUGGCAUCCUCGAUCAUCAGGCAAGGACGGCAGAACAAAGGGAUCAGUUACAUGGGAUUGAAUAAACUGCUAAAUAUGAUUACAAUUUUCAUAACUUUUUGUCUGACAUACUACUGGC